AUGCCUAUUUGUUUUUUUUAAAAAAUCAUAGAAAAGUAAUGUCUUCUGGAAAUGACUUUGGAAAUGGAAUUGUUAGACCACGUCUAGAAGCGACAUCAGGAUCGACACACGUCCACGUUUGUUCAGUGGGAAAGAAGCAUCUUGGACGUGGAAUUGUUAAGCUGUCUCUGAGAAACGUCAGGACUUUACUAGGUUGGCAGCAGAGGGGCAGAAGGAAGUUUUUUUAAUUUUUAAAAAAAUUUUUAAAAACCUA